UACGAAGGGGGCUAGCGUUGCUCGGAAUCAUUGGGCGUAAAGAGCUCGUAGGCGGCCUGUCGCGUCUGCUGUGAAAUCCCGGGGCUUAACCCCGGGCGUGCAGUGGAUACGGGCUGGCUGGAGGCAGGCAGGGGAGAACGGAAUUCCCGGUGUAGCGGUGAAAUGCGCAGAUAUCGGGAGGAACACCGGUGGCGAAGGCGGUUCUCUGGGCCUGUACUGACGCUGAGGAGCGAAAGCGUGGGGAGCGAACAGG
rnacentral:rRNA from 1 species